rnacentral:rRNA from 1 species
AGCGAACGCUGGCGGCAGGCUUAACACAUGCAAGUCGAACGCCCCGCAAGGGGAGUGGCAGACGGGUGAGUAACGCGUGGGAAUCUACCCAGUUCUACGGAACAACUGAGGGAAACUUCAGCUAAUACCGUAUACGCCCUACGGGGGAAAGAUUUAUCGGAAUUGGAUGAGCCCGCGUUGGAUUAGCUAGUUGGUGAGGUAACGGCUCACCAAGGCGACGAUCCAUAGCUGGUCUGAGAGGAUGAUCAGCCACACUGGGACUGAGACACGGCCCAGACUCCUACGGGAGGCAGCAGUGGGGAAUAUUGGACAAUGGGCGCAAGCCUGAUCCAGCCAUGCCGCGUGAGUGAUGAAGGCCUUAGGGUUGUAAAGCUCUUUCAGUGGGGACGAUAAUGACGGUACCCACAGAAGAAGCCCCGGCUAACUUAGUGCCAGCCGCCGCCGUAAGAC